rnacentral:misc_RNA from 1 species
ACCGAGUGAAGAGCCUGCGUGGUGUCCACACAGAUUGUCUGAUGAAGUAAAAGAGUCAAAAGCGUCUUGCGAAGCUGACAAGAGAUGUCCCCUUCGUCUAGAGGCCCAGGACACCGCCCUUUCACGGCGGUAACAGGGGUUCGAAUCCCCUAGGGGACGCCAAUGACAAGACAGGUGAGUGAAAGUCACGGUCAGGGAUAUCCCGAAGAUAACCUAAAGCUGAUUAGCAAUAGUCAGGUUUACGUUAUCUUGCUCUUUAACAAUCUGGAACAAGCUGAAAAAUUGAAACGACAGCAUGUGUAUGAGAAUGCAUGUGUUGUUCGAGUCUC